CAAGUCGAACGAGAGAAGAGAAGCUUGCUUUUCCGAUCUAGUGGCGGACGGGUGAGUAACACGUGAGCAAUCUGCCUUUCAGAGGGGGAUACCGAUUGGAAACGAUCGUUAAUACCGCAUAAUAUAAUUGAACCGCAUGAUUUGAUUAUCAAAGAUUUAUCGCUGAAAGAUGAGCUCGCGUCUGAUUAGCUAGUUGGUAAGGUAACGGCUUACCAAGGCGACGAUCAGUAGCCGGACUGAGAGGUUGAUCGGCCACAUUGGGACUGAGACACGGCCCAGACUCCUACGGGAGGCAGCAGUGGGGAAUAUUGCACAAUGGAGGAAACUCUGAUGCAGCGAUGCCGCGUGAGGGAAGAAGGUUUUAGGAUUGUAAACCUCUGUCUUCAGGGACGAAAAAAGACGGUACCUGAGGAGGAAGCUCCGGCUAACUACGUGCCAGCAGCCGCGGUAAUACGUAGGGAGCGAGCGUUGUCCGGAAUUACUGGGUGUAAAGGGAGCGUAGGCGGGAUCGCAAGUCAGAUGUGAAAACUAUGGGCUUAACCCAUAAACUGCAUUUGAAACUGUGGUUCUUGAGUGAAGUAGAGGUAAGCGGAAUUCCUAGUGUAGCGGUGAAAUGCGUAGAUAUU
rnacentral:rRNA from 1 species